rnacentral:lncRNA from 1 species
CCACACCACACCACAGCUCGCUCACCACAAUCUCAACAGCCAUCGGAAUCAACAGCAGCAGCGGAGCGAUUUCAUCGACUAACAAAUCAGCGGACAUGGGGAUGCCGGCGGUGAGGAGGAGGGAGAGGGACGCGGAGGCGGAGCUCAACCUGCCCCCCGGCUUCCGCUUCCACCCCACCGACGACGAGCUGGUGGAGCACUACCUGUGCCGCAAGGCGGCCGGGCAGCGCCUCCCGGUCCCCAUCAUCGCCGAGGUCGACCUCUACCGCUUCGACCCGUGGGCGCUCCCCGACCGCGCCCUC